rnacentral:rRNA from 1 species
UACGAAGGGUGCAAGCGUUACUCGGAAUUACUGGGCGUAAAGCGUGCGUAGGUGGUGAGUUAAGUCUGUCGUGAAAGCCCCGGGCUCAACCUGGGAAUGGCGAUGGAUACUGGCUCGCUAGAGUGCGGUAGAGGAGAGUGGAAUUCCCGGUGUAGCAGUGAAAUGCGUAGAGAUCGGGAGGAACAUCAGUUGCGGAAGGCGGCUCUCUGGACCAGCAUUGACGCUGAGGCGCGAAAGCUAGGGGAGCAAACGGG